AUUGAACGCUGGCGGCAGGCCUAACACAUGCAAGUCGAGCGGAUGAAGGGAGCUUGCUCCUGGAUUCAGCGGCGGACGGGUGAGUAAUGCCUAGGAAUCUGCCUGGUAGUGGGGGAUAACGUCCGGAAACGGGCGCUAAUACCGCAUACGUCCUGAGGGAGAAAGUGGGGGAUCUUCGGACCUCACGCUAUCAGAUGAGCCUAGGUCGGAUUAGCUAGUUGGUGGGGUAAAGGCCUACCAAGGCGACGAUCCGUAACUGGUCUGAGAGGAUGAUCAGUCACACUGGAACUGAGACACGGUCCAGACUCCUACGGGAGGCAGCAGUGGGGAAUAUUGGACAAUGGGCGAAAGCCUGAUCCAGCCAUGCCGCGUGUGUGAAGAAGGUCUUCGGAUUGUAAAGCACUAUAAGUUGGGAGGAAGGGCAGUAAGUUAAUACCUUGCUGUUUUGACGUUACCAACAGAAUAAGCACCGGCUAACUUCGUG
rnacentral:rRNA from 1 species